AGAAAGGUGGAGGGGUUGUCAGA
rnacentral:miRNA from 1 species